rnacentral:lncRNA from 1 species
UGUACUUCGGUCAACGCUUUUACACCCCAAUAAAUUUACAAAAAAGAGCAUUCAAUUCUUAAAUAUAUUACAAAACUUGUUUGUUUGCUUUUUGGCCUUGAAUAUUUGUCCCUAAUAUUGUAAUAACUAUGUAUUUGCAUUCAGGUAUCGCAGAUCAAAUUUAUUCGUUCAUAGUGUGAUAAUUUACGUUUUUUGAUUGAGUUAAGCCUUCCAAUUGAUAUUUUAUCGUGUGUUUUUCUAUGUUGUGAUGUUAUACUAUUGUUUCAGAAAAAGGGAGAAGCUUUGGUACCAAUAAAACAUUUUAUCCCGUUGCAAAUGUUUGCACCUGUCCUAAGUCCGGAAUCUGAUGUACAGUACUUGUCGUUUGUUAAUGUAAUUUAUACGUGUUUCUCGUUGCUCGUUUUUUAUAUAGAUUAGACCGUUAGUUUUUCCCGUUUAAAUGGUGUAAGCCAAGGCUCCGCGUUGAAGGCCGUACAUUGACCUAUAAUGGUUUACUUUUAUAAAUUGUUAUUUGGAUGGAGAGUUGUCUCAUUGGCACUCACACCACAUCUUCCUAAUACUAUUAAGAAUAAAAUAUAUGUGAAAUGAGAAUUUGAAAGUGAUGUGCACGUUAUAUUGAAACUAUUAAAUUUGAAAUUAGACAAUCAUACAAUAUUUGCUUAAAAUCAUUCAGAAUGUAGGUGUAGAAUUUGUAAAUUCAGCAUUCAUUCAUAGAAGAAAAACUUUACGUCUCAUUCUGUAUUUUUAUUUUGUAAACUUUUACAUUUUUCGAAUAUGAUAUUAUAUUGCUAAAGUGAUAUAUAGGUCCGAUGGACCGGGUGUAAAUAUCAAAUUACUAUGCAUAUAAUUGUAUAAAUGUAUGUUAUGAUACACAAGUCCCU